GGACAGGCGGCGCUCCCUGGGGACAGGCCAGGCGUACCAGAGCGCAAAGUUGUGUAAAGUUAUUUCCCGGGUGCGCGGGGCCGCGCUGGACAUUUAGCGUUAUUGUAUUACGUUCUGUUAUUUUUCCCCCCCUCUUUUUCCCCCUCUUCCCACCGAUGGCAUCGCGCGCCGUGGCCGGAGGUGGGCCAGGCUCCCCUCCCACUGCCUAUCCUGCCUCUAUUGCUUUUCCCUCCCAAAAUGUUUCCUGCUCUCUCCUGAGCCCACGGGGAGCAGGCGUGCAGGCAGCCCUACCCCCGAGUCCCCCCCGCGGUACUCCCGAGGCAUCCCCUCAGCCCUUUCUGGGGGUUCCAUCCCCAAAAGGAGCCCCUGCUCCAGACCAGAAAACCUUUCCCUAAUUGCUCGGGCUCGGCGGCGCUGGGUUGACCAGCCUGAGGGAAGGGGGGAUAAAGCCGAGUGGGAUUUUUGAUCUUCCUGCGGCAGCGCAAGCAAUGGCCAAACUUUAAUUGCUAAAAAAACCCCUCCAAGCCCAGACAGCCCGGGGGCUGGAGGGCAGGAAUGCGGCCGCUCUCCCCUGGAGUUCUCAGUUUCCCCGGAGUGCAGAUGACCCUGGAAAUGGAGAUUUCCUGGCCAAGGCUCGGCUCCCCCAGACUGCCCUCGACCUCGGCGCCCAGGCGCGUGCCCACCAUGCCCGUGGUCGGUGUCCUGCUCUGGGCCACCCUGCUGACUCUGGGCUGGCGGGCUGCCCAUCCCAAGGACCACGGCUUUGCUACCCCCAGGGUCCAGCUCUCCUUCAAAGGUAAGAGUCUGGUUGUUGGUGUGGGGGGCAGGGCGGGACCCCAAGAUGGAGGAAACCACGGGCACCCCAGUACAGGCUCCUUCUCCUCCUCCUCCUCCUCGCUCGGGGGGCAUCAGCAAUCUGCACCCUCAGACAUCUCCAUGGGGAUCCGUAUUCAGGUGUGGCAGAGCUCCCAGUCUGCACCAGCACACGCAAUCUUGGGGGGCUGGUAGCCUGCCUAGUCCCCCCAGUACGCUUCCUGUUGUGGGUGGGUGGCUCCCUCCAUCUGGCAAAGCUGGGUGCUGAGGUGUGGGAAGCCCCCCCGGCAGCACCCCGAUUCCAGACAGCAGCUUGACGCCGCCCCGACCCCCCCAGCUGGUAUUAACGCCUGGGAGCUGGCAGGGAGCCGGGAGAGGCAGGAGGGGAGGGUGCUGGGUGGGGGGAAGGGGCUUAACCCUUUCGUACCGGGGCUGCUUAGCCCACCCAGCCCCUCUAGGAGCCGUGGGGGGACCCCUGGGUCAGCUCUGGGGUGCACAUGGGUGGAGGGGUUUGGCUUGAGCUGCUGUUUUGAGGUUGCCGAGCAGGGCAGGCUGGGGCGCAUGAGACAGGUCCCAGGGCUGCAAACCUGGAGGAGCAGAACGGAAAUUCCCCCAGUUCCUGCUGGGAGCUUGCCUGCUUGGAUGUGUGUCAGGAGGUGACAGUCGUGAGGAGCCUCAUGUCUGCCUCCCCUUGGGGUCUGUGGGAGAGCUGGGGCUGUGCUGCCUGUGCCCCUCCUUUGCUGUCCCACUGCACCUUUGCCCUCUGGUCACCUGCUGAACCUGUGAGCCCAGGGAUGUGGUGGCAGAACUGAUGGUGAGCACAGCAGAGCCAGGCUGGGGGGCUGACAGCAAACUCAGUGAAGCAGCAACAGCCAUGGGUGUUACAGGCUGGUCUUGACAGAAAAAAUGGCUGGUAUGAAGAGUCUGGGGACAAGUCCAGGCUGGAAAAUAGUGAGCAAGUUCCUCCCCAGAGGCAGGCGCCACUUUGCUCUCCAAACAGCCUUCUUGGAGGGUUUUGGGGGCUGCUGGGGUUGUUUAGGUGCUGUACAGAUGCUUCCCCACCUUAAGAGGCUUAAAACACCUCUUCCUCACAUCUGUGGGGAGGGGAGGCUCCAGCAAAGUCCCAGCUGGACCUGCUGCCCACUGCCACACCAUGGUGUGCUCCAGGAGUGAGAUUAAUUCCAGAUAGGCAUGGUUAAUCUUGCUAUGCCACGGGUUAGGGGCUGGUUUGGGGCUGGUUUUUUUUUGGCCCCAGCUGGUUGGAGCAAUGGUUCCUGGCUGUACUCAGGAUCUGCAGUCCUUCUCCCUCCUGCCUGAGGUGGCCUGGGGCAGGGCUGCCCCUGCCCUUGCUGCCUGGAGCGGGGAUUUGUGCUGGGAGAAGGGCUGAUUUGCAUUGGCACAUGGAGAAGAAAUGCCAGUGGUGUGCUGGGUCCAAGCACAUCGGGGUUGGGAAGGGGUGCUCACCUCUUUCCUGCCUGUACUCUGACAAGGGUGGCAGUGGUGGAGAAUUUUCCCAGGGUCUUCCUUGAGGGCCAGCUGGGAGCUACACACCAAACUGCUGGUGAGCAGCUUCCUGACCUGAUCAUCCGCAUGCAGCCUCCCUGAAGCCGUAGAACCAUGAGAUAUGGGCUGACAGUGGCACUUUGUGGAUGGCCCAGCCACUUCUCUUGCCUGGAGAGGCAGGGAUGAUACCCAAAGGCCGGCCCCAAAUCUCCCAGUGCAGCUGCAGACGGUGGGGCUGGGUGUGAUGGGUCUGGGCUGGGGGCACUGGUGUGAUGAGCUGGGCUGGGCUCUGCUGUCAGGGAUGGUUGUGCUGCCACAGGGCACCAGGUGGCCGUCUGUGCAGUCACAGCUGAGGGUCGCUGCCACAGCAUCCCUCUGCCUGAAGCAUCCCAGUGCCAGGGUGGGACUGAGGUGGCCCUGUGGCCAGAGUGCUGGGGAAGGAGCCGCCGUGUCCCCAAGUGUGUCCCCUGGUGCCUUGCCUGGGCUGCCUGGAGCCCUGCCAGCUGCGGGAGCGUCUCUGGGUUUGUUUGCCUUUGCUUGUUAUCACGCGCCAGAGGUUUGUCGCAGCUCCCCGGGGCCUGCGUCAUCCUCUACGGAGCCCCGGCGUCUCUGAGUGCAUUAAAAAAAAAUAAAAAAGUCUACAAAAUACUGAAGUGAUAGGAA
rnacentral:lncRNA from 1 species